UACGUAGGGACCGAGCGUUGUCCGGAAUCAUUGGGCGUAAAGAGCGUGUAGGCGGCUGUUAAGUCUUGCGUGAAAUCUCGGGGCUCAACCCCGAGCGGUCGUGAGAAACUGGCAGGCUAGAGUGCGGGAGAGGAGAGUGGAAUUCCUGGUGUAGCGGUGAAAUGCGCAGAUAUCAGGAAGAACACCCGUGGCGAAGGCGGCUCUCUGGAACGCAACUGGACGCUGAGACGCGAAAGCGUGGGGAGCAAACAGG
rnacentral:rRNA from 1 species